UCAGCGGACUGAGCCACCCAGGUGCCCCCGAGUAUGUUUAAGUGAGCCAACAGUUAAAAGUUGAGAACGUUUACCUAAAAAUCCAAAUAUAUGACUUCUUUUAGGAAAAAUCAGAUCUGUUAAUAUGGGGCAACUAUGGGCUGGAGUGGUAGGUGUGUUAGAUGAAACACACACUUCCUGGUUUGCCACAGUCCUCAGCAUUUACUAUUUUCUUCCCAAUGUUGAGGCCAACUUUUAAUUGCUUUGUAUCCGGAAAAUUGCAGUGUUCUUUUUCUUAUACUCAUUGACUUCAGUUAUGUGCUGGGCCCACAGGCAUGUAAGUGUUCCAUUCCUGCCAGAGCCAUCGCAUGCUGUGAGUUCAGAGGAUGAUGAGACCUUGAAUGGCUGGAGUGGAUGUCACACUUGUUAGGUGGCUGCUAUAAUGUGAUGAGCACUGUGUAAGCAUGGUAUCUCACUGACUACUCACAGAAGGCUCCAUCAGAGGCACAGGCCCUACUGUUUGCAAAUGGAUAGCAAGCAAAUAUCUCAUGACGAAUCAAGAGGAGCAAGAAGAAAGAAACAUUUCUCCUGGGAAAUGACUUACAUGUCCAGUCAUGCCAUUUAGUCCCACCUUCAGGACCCACCCAACUCCAGGCUUCUGGGUCAAUUCUCUUGGUCAAGAAAUAAGAGCUCAGAAGGAUGAUGGUAUAACAUUGGAGAAAGGGUGUUGGAACCUCACUCACCUAUAUUUGCCUUCCUGUACAACUUGAGCAGAAGUUGGAAAGUGGAGGAUGAAAUGAGGACUGGAACAAGCAACCUUUCUCACAGUGACAUAGAAUUGGAAAAAGCACUCAGAAAGGCUUGGUAUCAACAUCUUAAUUUUUAUUGGGGAAACUAGAUUUUACAGAUGGGGAAAUGUUAAGUAUUUAAAUGUUUAUUGAGCAUCUGGUAUAUACUAGAUACUGUGCUAAGCAUUGAAGGUACAGCAGAAAACAAUGUAGUUGAGUCCCUUCCUUCUGCAAUUUAGAGCCCCAGAGAGGUGAAAUGACAAAACAAACCCUGAACCAGAAUCUAUAUCUCUUAGGUCCCAAUUGAUUAUCUUUCUUACAUUUUCCAUCUAAUAUGCUUUAGGAACCUAAGAUUUUCUUUAUGAUUUUGGGCAACUCACUAAACAAGUAGGCUUCAGUUUUAUGAAUACAUAAAAAGAAACUUGUAUGUUUCCUUGUUCACUUAUUUAUUUACCAAAUAUUUACUGAGAACUCUCUGUAUCCCAGGCAUAAAGCCCACUGAAUUCACAGGAUAGAACCUUUUUUACUUAGAGCAAAUUUACAUAUGUCAGCAAUGCUUUCCAAAUAGUAAUGAACAGGUAGCUGGAAAUUCCAUGGUUAGCUGUAUUUCCUUUAAUAGGAUUCAAAGUUGGCUUACUCUCCCAGGUACCCUAAUCCCAACCUGGGUUUCUUCUCCCCUUUUUCCUUCCCUCUCUCUUUCUUUUUUCUAACCAUCUGCCAAUUUCCUCUUCCUUCCUUCCUUCCUUCCUUCCUUCCUUCCUUCCUUCCUUCCCUCUUCUUUUUAUCCAUCAUAUUUCCAUCUGAAGUAUAAACAUUAACACCAGUGAAUUGAUUUACAGUAAGAGAUUUCAAAGUCAUAAAGCCAAAUACUUUCACUGGCACAGUUAGUAUAUUCUUGCUUUGUAGCUACUGUACAUUGUAACUUUUAUUUAUUGUUCCUAAAUAAAAACUUUUCCUGUUUCAAGAUUGUAUUUAACAUAUGGGACAAGAAUACUGGAUUAUAUUAUAUUCACCACUGUAUCAGGAAAAUGUGUUACUGGCAUUAACCCCCAAAUUAGCAAGGGCAAGAAGGAUAAAAAGGGAAAAUGCAAGAAUGUAUGACUGAUUUUUGACAAGGCCAGAUAAAAAGGAGGAAAAACGCACUGGUCUUUAUCAAGGAAAAAAAAGUACUGGUCCUUAUCAGGGCAAAUAGUGUUAUCUCCCAACGUACACAAGAAUUUCCAAUAUUAACUAACCUGUAUCCUUCAAAAUACAUUUUCUCAUAGCUGAAGAAUCACAUUCAUGUUGGUAGCUGAUUUAUAAGGGCAAGAAUGUGGUUUCUUGGA